GAAGAAAAACGAUUGACCACCACCAACGAAGAAGAAGGUGGACGUAGCGUCUUGUGUAAAAAAAAAUAAUAAUAAUAAAUUUUAAAAAACGUCAAAAUGUUGAAAGAUUUGGUAAGGGAGCGACUAAUUGCGGCCGCUGAUGAAAUCUUCGGACUGUUUGAAAGAACGAUAUCGUCGUACGAGGAGCAACUUUGUCGGGCGAAAGAAGAGACCGAGCGACACCGACGUCAACUGGAAGCUGUUUACAAGACACAAACAGUGUUGAACAUACAAGAUGUCCAGCUGCUGACUGGUCAUCAAGUACAACAGCUCCACGCGGGCACCACCAGUUUGGACCAUCCACAGACCCCCCACAUUAAAGUUGAAGUGGAGGAGGAGGAUGUCACGGCUGUCCCCAUGACGAGCAGAGAACAACUGCCUGAGUCGCCCCACAUGACGACAGAGACCAGUGGAGACCACUGCGGGGCACCGCAAGAAGAACACAUCUUCGCUCCACUGUCAGACAGUGACGACAUUGAAGAACUUUUGAGGAGCGGUACAGACUCUGAAGAUGAACUUGUGGCGAGCUCCAGUUUUGAGCACCCCCAGCGCCCCCACGUUAAGGAGGAACAGGAGGCUGGCGUCAGCGAAUUGCUGUUGACCGGCGCCCUCGUGAAGAACGAAGACGAUGACACAUCGCCCGAUUGGUCACCACUUGAUCAACACAGUCCGGGGUCACGCAUGCGGUCGCACACGAGCACCCACACCGGAGAGAAAUCCUUUAACUGCUCAGUUUGUGGUCAUAGAUUCUCCCGAAAAAUUCACCUGGCAUCGCACAUGAGGACACACAGUGGAAUUAAACCCUUUAGCUGCUUGGUUUGUGGUGAAGGAUUUAAUUCAAAUGUUGCUUUGAUUGCACACACGGUAAUGCACAGUGUUGAUAAAUAUUUCAUGUGCUACACUUGUGGUAAAAGCUUCUCCUGUAAGAGAAAUUUAAACGAACACAUGCACACACACACAGAAAACUCCUUUAAAUGUUCAGUUUGCGAUAAGAGAUUCACUCAGAAGGUAAACCUGGAGUGGCACAUGAAAACUCACGUGGGAGAAAAAAGUUUCACUUGCUCGUUUUGCGGCAAAACCUUCUCUCAGGAGUCCACCCUGCUGACACACACGCAAAUUCACACGGGAGAAAAACCCUUUGCUUGUUCGGUUUGUGGGAGGAGGUUCUGUCUUCAGGCAAACAUGGUGUCACACAUGAAAACACACACAGGGGGAAAAGCCUUUUAAUUGUUCCAUUUGAGGUAAAAACAACUGUUGUGGACAAAUUGAAUGCAGACAGGAUUUGAUAAACAUUAUCCUUCCGAGUUAGGCUGAAACACAAAUUUUGUUUAAAAAAUGUGAUUCACAAUCAAAAAACACUGGCGACCAGUCCCAAGUGUAGUGCCCCUUUAGCCCGAAGUCAGCUGGGAUGGGCUUCUACUUUCUGUGACUCAGGACAGGAUAUGUGGUGUAGAAAAAUGGAUGUCUGGAUUAAUUUAAGUGCUUCCUCUUGGGGAAAAAAAAUCUUCUUGGCAAUUAAACUUGGAUUGAUUAAAUUGAUAAAAUCGCACAGCCCUAUUAUGAACAUUUAAUAACUGUUCUGCUGAGGUUGUGUUUGUUUUUAGACUCAUACUUGCAACUUAUUCUUAACACUUUAAAUGUUAACAUGUAAAUGUUAUAAGUGUACAACAGUCAGAUGUCAUGGUGAGAAAAGGAGUACAAGCAGACGUAUAUUAAAAGCUAUACUGAUUGUUUAACCAGAACUGUGGUAUGUUAUUGUUUUCCAACCAUCCAUUUUCCAAGCUGCUUAUCGUCACAAGGGUCGCGGGAGUGCUGGAGCCCAUCCCAGCUAUCUUCGGGCCGGAGGCGGGGUACACCCUGAGCUGGUUGCCAGCCGAUCGCAGGGCACACAUAAACUAACAACCAUUCGCACACACAUUCACACCUACGGGCAAUUUAAAGUCCUCGAUUAACCUACCAUGCAUGUUUUUGGGAUGUGGGAGGAAACCGGAGUACCCGGAGAAAACCCACGCAGGCACGGGGAGAACAUGCAAACUCCACACAGGAGUGGCCGGGAUUUUAACCCCAGUCCUCAGAACUGUGAGGCAGACGCUCUAACCAGUCGUCCACCGUGCCGCUGUUAUUGUUUUGUAUCAUGUUAAUUGUACAUCAAACAUUUUCAUGCCUUGUAUUUUGUUGUAUUAUUAUAACAUUUAAUUUUAGGAACAAGUCGAAAGUCAUGUUUUUGCCUCGCGUAGUUUUACAAUAAAGGCCGUUUGGAUUCUGACCUCUUCCUCUGUUCUUUUCUUUUGAGUCGUUGUCAAUACCGCCGUAAGAUGGCGGUCGCCUGGCGUAAUGGGCUGCUCGGCCGCUGUAGAACCACCACCGAAGAAGAAAAACGGAUUCAAGCAUCUCACAAUUGGCGCAAGCUGGCGACGAAGCGGGAUAUUGCGAGCGAAAGAAAACGUCAAAAUGUCGAAAGAGUUGGCAACUGGGUUCCAACCUGUGAAAUUGAAAAUGAUGACACCACCCCAGAUGUGGAUAUAAGUGCAAGCAAUACAGGCAGUGCAGAAGGCAGCACAGGUAAAGAACAUGCCAUUGAAAUUGAAGGUCAAAUGUGAUUUAUUUAUUUUUUAAAGACUAGAACACAUUAUUGAUUGUUUUUUUUAAUGAAGUUUAAUGUGUGUAGAAGUAUGUGCAUUGUGCAUUGAGACUGGGAUAGAGAUAUAAUACAGUGGUACCUGCACUUGGGAAACACGACUUACCUGUGGGAGAUGCGAGCAAUCCCUCGUCUGAUUAUUUGUUUGUUUGUUUGUUUUUGCUGUGACUUGAAAGCCAAAGUUUGAGAUAUGAUCCCGAGAUGGUCUGGCAAAUAGUAACUUCGAAAAAUUCUUUAAAAAAGGCUUCCAAGAUUUUUAUUGGCAUACAACCUCAGCAGAACUGUUAUUAAAUGUUCAUAAUAGGGCUGUGCGAUUUUAUCAGUUUAAUCAAUCCAAGUUUAUUUGCCAAGAAGAAUUUUUAUUCCCCAAGAGGAAGCACUAAAUUAAUCCAGACAUCCAUUUUUCUACACCACAUAUCCUUUCCUGAGUCACAGAAAGUCGAAGCCCAUCCCAGCUGACUUCGGGCUAAAGGGGCACUACACUUGGGACUGGUCGUCAGUAUUUUUUGAUUGUGAAUCAUAUUUUUUAAACUCAAUUUAUGUUUUAGCCUAACUAGGAAGAAUAAUGUUUAUCAAAUCCUGUCUGCAUUCAAUUUGUCCACAACAGUUGUUUUUACCUCAAAUGGAACAAUUAAAAGGCUUUU